rnacentral:rRNA from 1 species
CACAGGUGGUCAGGUAGAGAAUACCAAGGCGCUUGAGAGAACUCGGGUGAAGGAACUAGGCAAAAUGGUGCCGUAACUUCGGGAGAAGGCACGCUGAUAGGUAGGUGAAGUCCCUGCGGACGGAGCUGAAAUCAGUCGAAGAUACCAGCUGGCUGCAACUGUUUAUUAAAAACACAGCACUGUGCAAACACGAAAGUGGACGUAUACGGUGUGACGCCU